rnacentral:rRNA from 1 species
GUAACAAGGUUUCCGUAGGUGAACCUGCGGAAGGAUCAUUAUCGAUGGCCGCGCCGUGAGCGCCCUGGUGCAGGAUCGGCCGGCCACUGACCACACCCUUACUUUACGAGCACCUUUCGUUCUCCUUCGGCGGGGCAACCCGCCGCUGGAACCUCAUCAAACCUUUUUUUGCAUCUAGCAUUACCUGUUCUGAUAAAAAAACAAUCGUAACAACUUUCAACAAUGGAUCUCUUGGCUCUGGCAUCGAUGAAGAACGCAGCGAAAUGCGAUAAGUAGUGUGAAUUGCAGAAUUCAGUGAAUCAUCGAAUCUUUGAACGCACAUUGCGCCCCUUGGUAUUCCAUGGGGCAUGCCUGUUCGAGCGUCAUCUACACCCUCAAGCUCUGCUUGGUGUUGGGCGUCUGUCCCGCCUCUGCGCGCGGACUCGCCCCAAAGGCAUUGGCAGCGGUCCACGGCCCCUCUCGCGCAGCACAUUGCGCUUCUCGAGGCGGCCCGGCCCGCAUCCACGAAGCCCACAUUACCGUCUUUGACCUCGGAUCAGGUAGGGAUACCCGCUGAACUUAAGCAUAUCA